CCCCUCAUUUGCGCAGCUUGCCUUUCCACCUCUCCUAACCUAAAACUCGACGACUCCAUGACUCCACCAGCCAUCAUCUCUGGUGACUGCCACAGUGGACAACUACUUGGUCUCCGGCUCGAUCUCUGUCUCUCCGCCUCGAUCUCCGUCUCUCCGACUCUCCGCAGCUAACAGCUGCCUCUCCGCUUCUCACCCUCUGACCCUCUCGGCCUCUUCGUCACUUCGCCUCUCCGGAAACCCUAGAUCUGCCUUCCAGACUUUGUGUUGGUCUGGUGACCGUCUUUUGCCAUGAAAAUGUAACAGCUUCAGGAUCUUGCUCGACAGCAUUCAAUUGUGCUCAAGAGCUUGUCGCCUGAUGUCAGAAAGCGUGUUGAGUUCCUCAAGGAGAUUCAGACUCAACAGGAUGAAUUGGAGGCAAAGUUUCUUGAUGAGAGAGCAGCACUUGAAGCCAAGUAUCAGAUGCUUUAUCAACCACUAUAUACAAAGAGUUAUGAAAUAGUGAAUGGUAUAGUUGAAGUUGAAGUUGAGAAAGCUGAAGCAGUGUCUAUGGACCACGAAGAUGACCAAAACCGCAAAGAAAGGAGUUCCACAUUUCUGGCUUAUUGUUAUGGAGUAUAAUGAAGUGUUAGCUGUAGAGGAUUCUGUAAGGGAAUAGAAGUAGCAGAAAAGGGGAUUGAGGCUGCGGAGAAAGGAUUUAUCAAGGGAAUAUAAGAGAGUGAAACGACGAAAGAAGGGCUUUGGAAUCAGCAAGCCAAAAUGGUCGUUCCCGCUUGGAAAAGACAGAGGACAGCUGGAGGAAGUUGGAGGUGAACGAUGCUCGGCCUUCCAGUUUGCUCUUGGGCUUUAUGGCUUACUACUCUAUAACCCCAUAUCAAAAAAUAUAGCUAAGUGCUCAAAUACCCCAAGUAGAAGCUUCCUUUGAGUUGGAGCAGAGAAAUCAAGAAUCAUCAAUGGAGGAGAUAACGGAGGGAGUGAACGACAUCAACAUUAACGGAGGCAGCGACGGUGACAUUCAAAAGAAAAAAUCGCAUUCAGGUCUCCAACACUAAGAAGCUAUUGUUCUUCUAUGUCAAUAUUGCCAAGAGGUAUAUGCAGCAGCAUAUUGAGGUGGAGCUUUCUGCUCUUGGAAAGGGUAUGGCUUUAUGGUCCUUGACUCCUUCUAGCUUUUCCUGCUUUUAUAAUUUCUAGACGUUUUAACCCGGAACUUCUGUGUUUUAGAGUUUAUAUGAUUGAUUAAUGUUUGAUUUCUCUAAAUUGUUAAUUGUUUUGUUGAAUUUAAUAUUGUAAUGCUGAAAUUUGAAUUUCAAUUGUAACCGGUCAAAUUCAUUUGAUAUUUGCAGAAUUUUAAAUUUUA